UUGGAGCAAUAAUUUAAAGCUCACUUGUCCCCCAUCUCCACCCCUCAUAGUUUUACAGGUGAUGAAACUAAAAUGUAAAGAAAAUGUCAAGUCAAAUCAGGGUAUCUAGCUAAUGCAGUAGAGUGCUAGGCCUGGAGUCAAGAAGAUUCAUUUUCAGGAGUCCAAAUCCAUCAGUUUCCUUAUCUGUAAAAUCAGCUGAAGAAAGAAAUGGUAAUAUAUUCCAGUAUCUUUGCCAAGAAAACCCCAAAAAGGGUAAUGAAGUAUCAGAUAUAAAUGAAAAAAUGUUUGAGCAACCACCAGCAAGUCAGAAGGAGGGACCCAAGUUCUCUUGCUCCCAAUGCAGGGCUCCCACUACCCUACCCUAAUCUCUCUCCAUUUCCUCACUUUCUGGGGACAAAUUGAAAAAUCUGAAAUUGACAUUUUUACCUUUAAUAACAUAUAUUGACCAUAUCAAUGAUUUGUCUCAUUGUUGUUAACAUAUCCAAGUCCUUUUCUCUUUAAAUUCCAGGGAUUUGGCACAGAUUUUGCAAAACUCAAUCAAUCAUUCAAUCGAUCAAUCACUUCAGGUGUGCUUCCUAAUGACUAUUACCUGGAAUAGACUGUGGCCCAAGACUUAUCCCACUGUAUAAUUAAAGUUAAAAAGAUCAGUUAAUAUCAGCAAAAUGCUAGUUAUGUAGCAGUAACAAAGGCAGUCAGUGCUUCCGAGUCAACACACAUUCUAUAUUUGUUUUACUUUCAAUUUCAAAUGAACUAAUAUAAAUAAUAGGACCCCUGUGGUUUUGCGGAGGCCCUCUAGCAGCAGGGCGCUUUCCUGAGGAAGUGGGAACAGGGGCAGUCGCCCAGAUCUAAAUAGCUAAACCAACAUUAGCUCAAUGUCAAUAAAAAUGUGAAUAGAAUUUAGGUUCCCAGAGGGCAAGGAUCUAUUCCUUUAGUAUAGAAACUGGCAUGGGACUUGAUCCAAAGUACCCAUUCCACAAACAUCACUUUCACCUUGGGGAAAAAACCAGAAGGAAAGAAAAGACAUUGAAUAGGAGAGAGAAGAGGAAGGAAAACUUUCUUCUGGAUUGUUCACUGUCCUUCCAGAAAAUGUGUACUGAGAUGCCUUAGAGCUGGCCAGAAAGGGAAGAAAACUCAAUGAAGCUAUUCUUCUGAAGCAAAGGAUUUGCUUGCUUGGCGUAAUUACUCACUCUCCCCACUUCUCCCCCCCAAAGGUAAUAAGCAUC
rnacentral:lncRNA from 1 species